UCCUUUCAAUUAUCAAACUUUUAUAUAUAGAGAUGUAUGUAAAGAUGUUUGGAAUAAAAGUUGAGAAAAGUAGUAUUGUUUAUAAUAUUACUUUCUUAAAAACCAGAAAUAUUAUGUUUUGAUUUUUCUUCACCUCAUUUUGUAUGAAAUUUAACAAAUGAGGAUGAGUAAAAAUAACAAAUGCUUU
rnacentral:misc_RNA from 1 species